rnacentral:rRNA from 1 species
AGAAAUCUCACCAGGCCCGGACACUGGAAGGAUUGACAGAUUGAUAGCUCUUCCUUGAUUCGGUGGGUGGUGGAGCAUGGCCGUUCUUAGUUGGUUGAGUGAUUUGUCUGGUUAAUUCCGUUAACGAACGAGACCUUAACCUGCUAAAUAGUGACGCGGUUCAUCGAACCGUGGGCCACUUCUUAGAGGGACUAUCGGAUUCAAACCGAUGGAAGUGUGAGGCAAUAA